UACGUAGGGCGCAAGCGUUGUCCGGAAUUAUUGGGCGUAAAGCGCUCGUAGGCGGUUUGUCGCGUCUGCUGUGAAAACGCGAGGCUCAACCUCGCGCCUGCAGUGGGUACGGGCAGACUAGAGUGCGGUAGGGGAGAGUGGAAUUCCUGGUGUAGCGGUGGAAUGCGCAGAUAUCAGGAGGAACACCGAUGGCGAAGGCAGAUCUCUGGGCCGGAACUGACGCUGAGGAGCGAAAGCGUGGGGAGCGAACAGG
rnacentral:rRNA from 1 species